rnacentral:piRNA from 1 species
UGGCAGAUAAGGAUGCUUUUUCAGCC